GAUUGAUGAUUUUAGAUUUAUUUUCGUAAUAAAUAAUAUAAACGUAUAUUUUAUACAAUGUUGUCUGCACUGCAGGAAUGUAAACUUUUAAAUAUAAUAAAUAGUUUCAAUACAAUACUGUAAACAUGUAACUAUAUAUAACUUUGAACAGAUGCAAUGCAGUAAUGUAAACAUAAAUAUAACUGAACAUUUAUAAUGCAGAAAUGCAAAUAUAAAUAACUUUGAUGCAGUGUUAAACUUUUCAUGUACGGUGAUGUUGUGUAAAUACAAUAUUAAAUGAUUAUUUGUGUUCGUUUUUUAUUAUUAUUAUUAUUAUUAUUUUGGUGUGUGUGUGUUUUCUACACCUGUAGGCAUUGAAAUGAAAAUAAAUUGAAACCAAACCAGUAGGUGGCAGCAAAAGGCUGUUUAAAUACGUGAGUUCAACAGAUUCGUUCAAACAGCUGAUUCAUUCAGAAACGAGGCAAGCAACUGCCUUUAUGAAUGGAUUACUGAAUCACUGACUCAUUUGAUUCGUUAAAAAGCGUGGAUUUAUUCAGUAACAAAACGCUGUGUUGCACGGACACACAAAACAGUUCUGAUGUGGCUGCACAAGCAACAUCUGGCACAACACAAGUCGAUCGGUGCAUCUCUAUUUAAAACCUUAACUUUGCUUAGCUAAAGUCUUGAUUGUCUUGACUGAAGUCCUCCUACUCCCAAACUAUGCGGCUUCUCUGACUUCCUCAUCGACCUGAAACAUGUCGCCCUCACGCAGAUCGCUCCUGUCACCUGAGCCUUACUAAAAACAGAUAUUAUUUAUAGUUAGUAACGUUCAUAAAGUAAAAUCCAUAAUGUAUAUUAAUAAAAAAAAAUCACAUAAGAUGCAAUGUACAUAAAAUGUAACUAGAUAGAUAUAUAAAUAAAUACAUACAUACAUACAUGCAAAGACAUAAACUGUGAGAAACGAAGAUGGCUAGAAUCGAUAUUCGUAUAACAUUAACUUAUAGCAUGACAAUACUCGCCCUCAAAAUUGUCGAUGUAAUUCUAAAUAUAUCAUUUGAAGCCCUUCCCUUUCUCACUGCUGAGCUGAUUGCCUCACGAUACGAUUAACGUCAUUUACAUUUAUGCAGGGAAGCUCUUGUAAACAGCGAGUAAAGUAUGUAAGUAUCUUCUCCUGCUCCAGUUUCACACAGUUAUAACCAAUAGCGAAAACGGCUUCCGGUGCUGCACCGGAUGUAACUGAGCGGACUGAGACCAAACGCGGAAGUGAUCGUGCAUAGAGUCAAUUACACGCUUCAUUGACAACAGUUGUAAUUCACGGGAACGUCCUGUUGUUAAGCACACUGUCUCGUGAUUAUUUUAUGAUGUAAAUCAAAUUUGCACGGGCAAUCAUCUGUUAAAACGGGCGCCGAAAUGAAACGCGUGACGUUACUAAAGGCUUGCAACUCACGGUCAUCCCGCUCACGGAGGAUCAGUGUAUGUCACGUAAACUCUGAACGGUGCUGUUAAAGCGGUUAACGUAAGCAGCGAGUUGUGCGAGAACCUUUGAUAACUUGCUAAUUCACUUAUUGUUUGAUUGUAUUGCUUUUUGCUAACUUUGGUUUAAAGAAUGAGUUAAUUCAGCCCAUCUUCCUGUCUGGCCUUUUCGCAGCAUAUAUUCACUUCGGAGUAACCUUACCAGGAGACAGACAGAGAUUUUGAGUUCCUUCAAAGAUUUAAGAGGAACAAAGAAGUUGAAAGGAAAAGUGCCAUCUAAAACAACAGGGCAACUGGAACAGAAGAAACCAGUUGAAGUGAACCCAAGUUGCCACUCUUCUUUGCAAAGUGAAUGAUUUUCAGUGGAAUUUCUGAAAUUCUGUUUCAGUGACCGGCGGAAACAAAAGGAGCCUGAAAGAAGAGAGAGAGAGAGAGAAGAGGGAGAAACAAGUGGGGCCUUACAUAUCCCAAAAAAUACAAGAUGUAAUAAAAAAGAAAAGAAAAAUGAAAAUGCAUAAUAUGUUUGGAAUUCUGUUAUU